GUUCAUAAACACAGCCCAAUGACCCAUACCCGUUGCUUUCAAUAGUGUGUGUAUAUAAUAUUUGGCGCUUCCUUACGGAAAUCGCGCAAUUCCAUCAGCGUUUCAAUUUCCGUACCGCCAUGGGAGCCUCACGCUCUGGGGACUCCGGCUCCAAUUCAAAACGAACAUCUACUUCUAAUCGGAGUAAUCAAAGCAACAGCAAGAAGAAGAAAACAAGCAGUCAAAAUACCCUAGGCAUGGCUUGGGGUGCCAAUUCUCGCUCUGCUUCUCGUCCCUCUUUCAACAGUUCACCUUUCUCCGAUUUCGGCAGUUACAUGGCCGUGAAGAAUCAGAAGCUUCAUGAGCAGUUUGUGGCGGAGGCAUCAAGCACUUCUCUCAGUGGUUCAAGUUCUUCAAAACCUAUAUUUCUGGGUGUUUCCAUUUUUGUUGAUGGAUAUACGGUUCCGUCCAGUCAGGAACUUCGAGGAUAUAUGUUGAAGCAUGGAGGCCGUUUUGAGAAUUAUUUUUCUAGGCGUCGUGUUACUCAUAUAAUCUGUAGUAAUCUUCCUGACAGUAAGCUGAAGAAUUUAAGGUCCUUUAGCAAGGGACUUCCAGUAGUCAAACCCACAUGGGUAUUGGAUUCUGUCGCUGCGAAUAAGCUUCUGAAUUGGGUUCCUUAUCAGCUUGAUCAGCUUGCUAGUGAAGUUAAUAACCAGCCUAAGUUAUCUGCUUUCUUUACAAAAAACAUUGCUAUUUCUGACAAUACAACAACAUCUUCAACAGUCCAAGCUACAUCUAGGGUUGGGAGCCCAUUGUCAUAUUCUGGAUCAUUUGAAGAUCCUAUAUCCUUUGAAGAGUUGCAAUCUGCAGAAGAUUUGGAGCCUUGUGCUCUAGAGUCUAAAGAUCUAAUGCAAGCAAGCUACAAUGUAGAUAGAGCUGAAGACUCAAAUGGUAGCAUGGCAAUGCAAGAACUGAGUGAUGCUGCCAGUGGAGAUGGAAGCCAUGCUCCAUUUCCAGCACCUUCCAGUCCUCGUAAUGAGGCAUCAGCUUGUAGAGACUGGAUGAGUGAUCCUGUUAACACGGGGCCAUCAAAUCUAAAGAUUCCUAGGUCUCCUAACCAGCGACAUUCAACUCUAGUUGAUGCUAAUUUUGUGGAAAAUUACUUUAAGCAUUCUAGGUUGCAUUUCAUUGGCACCUGGAGAAACCGAUAUCGUAAACGAUUUCCUAGCUCCCCUGGUGGGUUUAGAUGCACAAGUUCAGGUCCUAGUUCUUCCGCCACAGCGAAUAAGACGAUCAUUAUUCAUGUGGAUAUGGAUUGUUUUUUUGUGUCUGUGGUCAUUAGAAAUCGGCCCGAGUUGAAAGAUAAACCUGUUGCCAUUUGCCAUUCAGAUAAUCCACGGGGAACAGCAGAAAUAUCGUCUGCGAAUUAUCCUGCUAGGGGUUAUGGAGUAAAGGCUGGAAUGUUUGUCAGAGAUGCCAAGUCACGUUGCCCUCACCUAGUCAUUCUUUCUUACGACUUCGAGGCUUAUGAGGAGGUUGCUGAUCGAUUUUAUAACAUCUUGCACAAGUACUGCAACAAAGUGCAGGCUGUAAGUUGUGAUGAAGCAUUUUUAGAUGCUACUGAUUCUGGAGUAGAGGACAUUCAAGCUUUUGUCUCAGUGAUCAGAGAGGAGAUUCUUGAUGUGACAGGCUGUACUGCUAGUGCUGGUAUCGCCGGGAAUAUGCUUAUGGCACGUCUUGCUACUAGGAUUGCAAAACCAGAUGGGCAAUGUUACAUCCCUGCUGAGAAGGUGGAGGAGCACCUGUGUGAACUUCCAGUAAAAGCACUUCCGGGAAUCGGUUACGUCUUGGAAGAAAAGUUGAACAGGAGACAAAUCACAACUUGUGGGCAGCUGCGUAUGAUCUCCAAGGAAACUCUUCAGAAGGACUUUGGUUCUAAAACUGGCAGUAUGCUAUGGAACUAUAGUAGAGGGAUAGAUGAUCGGUUGGUUGGCAUGAUGCAGGAAAGCAAAUCCAUAGGCGCAGAUGUUAACUGGGGCGUGAGGUUCAAGGAUCUGAAAGAUGUACAACAUUUUCUGUUAAACCUUUGCAAGGAGGUUUCAUUACGUUUGCAGGGGUGUGGAGUGAUAGGGAGGAAGUUUACCUUGAAGAUAAAGAAAAGGAGGGGUGAUGCAGGGGAGCCAGUAAAGUAUUUGGGCUGUGGUGUUUGUGAUAACUUGAGCCAUUCUGUCACGGUGCCAAUGGCUACAGACAGUGUUGAUGUGCUUGAGAGAAUCGUUUCACAGCUUUUUACAACUUCACACGUGGAUGUGGAGGACAUACGAGGAAUGGGAUUGCAGGUCUCAAAGCUUGAAACUGCAGACAGUUCCAAGCAAGGGAAAGAGAGUUACUCCAUCAAAUCUUGGCUCACUGCUGCCUCUGCUAAGACCAAUAACCAAGACAGAUGCAGUAGUCAUGAGAAAGGUGCUGAUGCAGAUAACGGUAAACACCGCGUUUUUGAACACCAGGCUCAGUUGCAGGGUGCUUCAAGUAUGCCUUUCGUUGAAAUGACUACAGUGUCACCCUCCGGUACUACAGGUUUUGGACACAGCGGAACUCUUCCUCCUAUGAACGAGCUUGAUAUAGGAGUUAUAGAGUCUCUUCCUCUUGAGUUUUUUUCAGAAAUUAAUGACAUGUAUGAUGGAAAAUUGGUUCACUUUGUUACUGAAAAGAGAGGCAAAGGUGUAUCAGAAAAAGAAAACAUAUCUGCUGUUUGCCCUGCUGCACCACUUGAAGCUUUUGCUGCUCAUGAGGAGCAGCAGUAUAAUGAAGAGGAAAUUCAAGUGGUCUCUUAUCCUAAUAAGCUUUUUUCUGAUAUGAAAAGUGAGCCACUGUCUGAUGCUAGUGUACCAAAUAUGGACGUGGUUAUUACUGCUCCUGUCUCAGGAGGCAUCAGUCUAAUGCCCUCUUCUCUUAGUCAAGUAGACACCUCUGUUUUUCAAGAAUUGCCUGAGGAGUUGAGGACAGAUAUACUUGAACUCAUUCCUGCACACAGGAACGAUGAAUCUUCACUAAAUGCUUCCUUGGUCGGUGCUAAUAAUCAGAACAGUAGUCCUUCCAUUUCAAGCUUUAAUUUGUGGGUUGGAAAUCCACCAGAAUGGAUUGACAUAUUCAAGGCCAGCAAAUGUCAGAUUUUGUGCAUUUUGGCAGAGAUGUAUCAAAGAACAGGGACAAAGAAACAGUUAUCUUCUGUAUUGCAGAGGACUAUGUCUCAGAUUUAUAUUCUCCCUGAUGUCGGCAUUGACGGAUGGGCUGAGGCUGUUAGUUUCUUAUGCGAGCUUAUCAAGCAGUAUCUAAAAUUAAAAGUUUCAAGCGAUAUUGAAGAGGUUUACAUUUGUUCUUGCCUUUUAAGAAGGUUAACUGCAAGGUCAAAAGUUUUCUUAGAAGCUUACAACAACUUGCUUCCCCAUAUUCAGGCAUCAGUUAGUGAGAACUAUGGUGGCAGCUUUUGCAUAGCUUCUGUGACGGAGUAAUGUGUGGCAAGCCUUAAAAAGUUUCAGGUGCUCCAUGUAUACAAGUUCCAUACUGUAUGCUCACUUGCUCUACUUAUAAAUUGGUAUCGAUGCAAAGGGCCUCUGGUACAAGAGAACUCAGACCUGGUCUAACAGAAGAUCAUGUGAAUUUUUUGAUAGUACCACAUGAUGUUAGAAGAGCCCUAGAAUAUUUGACGUCCCGUCUCCCAAAUAUAGUGCCUUUGGUUAUGCAUGCGAUUUCUUCAUUCUACACUAGCAAUCUUGCUUUGAGUUUCCUGGAACUGGAAAAUGACUAGUUUUUCUUAUUAAAAGUGUGAAUACUUUAUAUGCUAAAAAUGAAGUUGAUCUGGAUCCUUAUGAACCACAAAGAGUCUUUAUGGGUGAAAUGGAUCCAUGGUAUUUAUAUGAAAACAAUUGAUGACAUGUACCACCUAUUGAUUGUAGUUGGUAUUGGAAGAAGCUCAACAAAAUGAAAAUGGGUAUGGCUAGUUGGUAUAGCAAUGACGGUUACAUGCUCACUUCAUCUGUAAAAUACUCUGCUACUAUGAGUUACCUGACUAUGUUAGGGGCAGAUUCAAAUUUGGUCAUCACUGAUCUUGUUUGGGCUAAGAUUUUGCAGCCUAAAUAUAGGUUCAUACUAUGGUUGCUAUGCAUAAGAAGAAGUUAAUUAAAGGAAGAUCGAUUGGAAUGGCGAUACCUUGUGAAAAUCCAUUUUGUGUCAUAUGUGCACAGAACGUCAUGGAGGACUUUAGUCACCUCUUUCUUACUUGUGAAUGGCUAACUACAAUUCGGAGGGGAAGGUGUUCAAUUGGCCAGGGAUACAUAUGCCACAAGCUGAGACAGUAGAAUGUUUGCAAUGCAUGAGAAAGAGAUAUUGGAGCAGAUUCAAAAAAGAAACUGUGCAGCAACUUAUGGGUGCAAUGAUCUAUUAUUUCUGCCAAUCACGGAAUUGGAAGAUUUUCAGAGAAUGCUGUGCAGCAAAUGCAGGACAUUAAGUUCAACAUUAUGGAGAGAAUACAAAUGUUUAGAGAGUCGAAAUAGGUAUAACAUGAAUCUGCCAACAAGAGGAACGUGUGAAAAAAGGCCUAAGGUCGAGGGAAUAUCAAAAUUCAUAAUUGUCGAUCAGACACCCCUGCUUUUGCGACAAUGGUGGAAUGAAAUGGAGGGGCAUGACUAUAGAGGAUAGUGAAAAACUAUUUGGUACAUCUUGUGCAUAGAUAUCAAUCGCAGAAGAGAUGUAAUUGAGGCAUUGAUUGAUGCUUGGGAUCACCAUAACAAUGUAUUUUGAUUUACAAACUUCAAGAUAACCCCGACUUUAGAGGAAUUAGCAAUCUUCAUGGGGUAGGAUCCAAUCGUCGAGGUUCUUUAUCUUCGAAACAAGAGACCUAUAGUCCCUAAGAACGUGGAUGGUAUUCAGUUUUUGAAGUUAUUGAAAAUCAAUCAGAUGAAAAUAGAAAGUUUAGAUGGAGGUUGGAUUUCCUUGAAAGUUUUAUUUGAUAGGUUUGAUCGAGAGGAAGGAUUUGAGAAGUAUCAAGGUCAAUUGAACAACAAAGAGGACCGACAAAAAUGGAAGGAAUGCAACCGCUUUGCUUUCAUGGUUGCAUUCCUGGGACGUUUAGUUUUUCUGGAGCGCGAUGGUAACAUUGAUAUCCGUUUGGCUGGAGUAGUGCAAGCGUUAACUACAAUGGAUAUCCCCACUCUUGUACCCAUUAUUCUUGGAGACAUCUUUCGCGCACUAACCAAGUGCAAAAAGGGUGUCAAAUACUUUGAAGGGUGCAAUUGUUUUUGCAAAUAUGGUUCCUGGGGCAUUUUUAUUUUCAUCCUUAUGCACCACGACAGAGUGACUGGUUAGAUCGUGCAUAUUCUCACAAGGAAAGGGCCAUUAAAAGUAAAGUCCCAAUUGGGAUCAAGGCUUGGAAGGAGAAAGGUCUCUAAGCUGACUGACAAUCAGAUUAUUUGGACCUAUUUGUUUCCAACACAAGAUAUCAUUUGCAUGUCCUCAUACCAUUCUUAUUUCGUGUCGAUUGGUCUUAGGGGUCCAACCUUUUGUGCCACUUCUAGUAACGCACCAAUUGGGUUGACUUCAGGAGAUUCCUCGAAUAAGGAACAUGGGUGAAUUCAUGUAUGAUACUCUAGGUUUUCCUUUUGAUAGCAACGAGAUACUAAAUUUUUGGUAUGAGAGUAUAAUAUUUGAGUCGAGUAAAAUGGUAGAAGAUCUUGAUAAAGGAAAAUUGGUUCCUGGGUACCUUCUAUGAUUGUAUAAUGCUUCCCCAUCUGAAGAUGGACCUGUGAGUUCGGGGAAAAGAAAAUGGGAUAGAGAAUCAGAGGUUCGAGCCAAGCCAGACAAGCCCGUCUUGAGGUGGAACAUGAGUUUCAAAAAAGGUUGGACGUGCAGCAAGUUGAAUAUGAUGCAAGAAUCACCCGGACUCGGAAAGAGAUGGAAAGGGACCAUCAGUUAGCUCUACAAGUUGUGAAGGAAGAUUUUAGACGCGUCAAGAUAAAAAAAGGGUCAAUUAGAGAAAGAGUUAGGAAGCAGAAAUGAGUCAGCGCAACAAAGGGUUGAAGGAUACAGGAGAUUCGAGUUUUGUAAGAAGAUUUGGAUAUCAUCGAUUGAUUUUCAAGGAAAUCCAACCUUCCUCCAAACUUUCUAUUUUCAUCUGAUUGAUUUUCAGUAACUUCAAAACUUAAUACCAUUCACGCUCUUAGGGACUAUAGGUCACUUGUUUCGAGGAUAAGAUCCUCGGCGAUUGGAUCCUACCCCCAUGAAGAUUGCUAAUUUAUCUAGAGUUGGGGUCAUAUCGAAGUUUGAGAAACGGAUCACAUUGUUAUGGUGAUCCCAAGCAUCAAUCAAUGUCUCAAUUACAUCUCUUCUGGGAUUGAUCUCCAUCAUAUGCACAAGAUGUAUCUUGAAGGACCUAGAUCUCUCUUUUAACUUUUAUGAGAUUUUUCCUGAUUUCUGAAGUUGUAAGGUACUGCUUUUCUUGUUUUUGUAUCGUAAACUAAGACGUGAUAGAGGGUUAUUUCUAAUCCACUUCCCAUUUGUCAUUUAUUUUCACGUGUCAUUUUUCGGAAUAAAUCUCUUCUUACUGAACAGAGUAUGUGUUGAUUUUUCGUGUUAUGAAAAUUGAGAGGAUUUUGGAUUUUGUGUUUUGUCAGGUUGGCUGGACACAGGUAGAUAAUUUCUUUGGUCUACCAGGUAGAAACUUGUUUACAUGAAAAACUGUGGACGUAAUUGAAGCAUAUAUUCGAGGGUCAGCCAGCACUUGGUCUGACCAUGAAAAUUGAAGCAUAACUGCUCGUGCUCAUACUGCUCUACUCACGUUUUGCCAUUGGAUUUUUCAAACAACAUGUUGGACUAUUGACCCAGUUAACAGUUGAAAACGUACUGUUGCAUUUUGAUUUAAUUACUUGUGGCGAGAAGAGGUUGAGCUGGAAUUUCAAGCUUUUGGAUUUUGCAAUGUUAAGUUAAAGCACGAUUUCAAGUGUAAAUAACUGGGAUUUAACUUUAGUAGGCGUUUGACCAUGUAAAUUAAAAUUUUUUGGAGUUGGAGUUGUGUUUCGUCAUAUUUUUUAGGAAA